ensembl:lncRNA
CUCAAUCCUACAUGGGAGGGCUGAUCUCCUUUUUCUCCAGCCUUUGGGUCCUAAUACUCCUCUUCCCCAUUUGUAUUUUUCUGUUGAGACGUAGGAUUUUUCCCUGUGGAGCUAUUUGCUGCCACUUUUAUUUCUUGCGGAGGAAAUAACAAAACACCUGACGGUGAUCCUGGCCCUCUGCAUCUGAAUGACGCUGCUCUGGGAAGCCCGCCUUUCUCUCCCCCACCUUGUGUCUAUAUUCUGUGCUGCAGACAGCUGCUCGGCACCCCUUCAGGCCUAUUUGAUGAAGGAACAGGACAUUUAAGCUUGUGGAUUCCAACUCUUGGUCCCAGUUUGACACCCUCUGUUUUCUACUAUCCUUGGAAGAUCCGGACUGGUUAUUAGAAAAGGAAGUUGCACAUCUCCUCACCGAAGUAUCUGUGUUUACAUCUACGGUAACCUCUGGCUGGGAUCAUCACGUGUGGAUCAUUGCCUUCUCCAAACCCAAAACUGUGCGGGGCCUGCCCCUGGAGGGUAAGAGCUACAUACAGCAGGGCAAAGCCAGUCUGUCUGCUGAAGCUGAGACCGGCGCUGAGAAGCCAGGCCACUCCGAGACACGUGAGCAUGCCCAGCCAAAGAUCGGCAGGACCUCUAGAUAACCUCCCAGCUCACCCGGAAGCGUCAGAGAAGCAUCCUUACACAGGAUGUCACCAAGGUCCUGCAGGUUUUGGUGACAUGGCAUUAUUUUAGCUGGAGAUAACUCAGACAGGUGGUGAUCUGAACCAGAGUGUACCCAGCCAUCUGCAGGUGCCACAAGACAGAUCAGCAGCAGCCGUCUUCCCUAAAAGCCUUAGAUUCAAUGGUGAAAAAAAAAUACAUAUAUACACACACAUUUGCACCAAAUUAUAUAUGAAGUUAAAGUAACCUAGAUAUACACACUGCAUACCUGAACACACACACACAUAUCUGAUGUUUCUGUACGUACAUGAUAUCCGUGUACCUCCGUGGAUUUGUCUCUGGAAGCACACUGAAAUUGUGCUUGUACUCCUGGACAACAGGUAGGACAGUGGGGUGAAAAAGUGCACUUAGUUUGUUUUAU